UGGAGAUUUCCUGUAACCUUUAAUCCAGACUGUCUAGACCUACAGCACAGUCAUCAUGCUGGGACUUUUCUUUGCUUCCCUCCUGUGUUAGAUUUCCUGCUUUCUGAAUCUAACUCUUUCUUGGUUUGCUCCAUUAUUUUGCCAAUGCAAUAUUCUAGUACUUUCUUUUAAAACCUGUUCAUAAGAGGUAAAUAUUUUGAAUCCUUGUAUGUGUGAAAAUGUCUCUAUCAUGCUGUCUGAAUUUUGAAAGCAAGUCUUUGGUUUUCAGUGUUGCUUUUGAGGUGAGCAAUGGUAUUCUGAUUCCCAGUGCUCUCUAUUUAGCCUGCUUCUUCUUCUCUUGUGGAUUUUAAGAUCUUCUCUUUAUCCCCAGAGAGUUAUAAUGUUCGUGAUGAUGUACAUUGGUAUGGGUCUCUUUUCAUGUAUUGUACAAAGAACUUGGUAAAUCCUUUUAAUAUGGAACUGGUCCAUAUUGAAUUUUUUUUUUUUUUUUGGUAUUAGAUGUUUGGUAAUCUUCUUUCUGACAAUAUUUUCUGUUCUCUUUUUUUUUGAAGGAGGGACUCCUAUUAUUUGGGCGUUAGGAAGACAUCUCGAAUUGUUAUCGUUUCCUGUAUUUUCUACAUUUUUUCUUUUUGCCUUAUUUUCUAGCAGAAUUUCUCAACAUUAUCUUUCAAACUGCUAUAGAAUAUUUUAAUUUCUUGUUUUCUUAUAGGUCAUUUUUUAUUAGUGCCUUGUUCUUGUUAUAAGAAUCCAAUAGCUAUUCUUAAUUCUCUGAGAAUAUUUAUUGUAGAUUUUCUUCAGUUUUCUUCUGCCAUCUAAUGCAGGUGUGUCUUCAGAUCAGAUCAUUAGAUCUCUAGAUCAUUAGUGAUACUGUAUCUCUAAUUCCUAUGGGUUCUUUUUUUUCUAUUUCUCUCUUUUGAUUUCUUUUAUUCAUGUUAGAGAUUUGCCUCAAGCAUUUAGGCUAUCUAGGUAAUUCUAGGCUAUCAUAUUUAAAUCCAAAUCCCUAAAGAACUCUUUGGAAGAUAUGUGUUCGUGGGUAAGCAUGAAGGAGGUGGGGCUGUCAAUUGAGGGGUUUCACUGGAGCUGGAAUUUUUGUUUGAGGACUUCCAAAUUUUAGUAUUUGAGGCUCUUGUCUCUAGGGCUGUUUGGUUUCUCCAGAAAAGAAUCUCCCACUUGGAAGGUAAAUUACUGGCAGGUAACCAUUCUAAGGACAAGGGGGCAGAUAUUCAUUUCUUCUCGUGUUUUCAGUUCCAUUAAUCACCCUCAACCUAGAGUGUUCCUAAUGGAAUUAGUUUUAGAAAUAAGUCUUCUAUAUCCUAUGGAGGAGGAAAUUGUGGACUCAGAAACUUCCAACUUUCUACUAUUCUGCCUUCCAAGAUAACCAGUGCUUCUGAAUCUGGAGUCUUUCUGGAAUUCUGUUGGGCGAAUCCCCCUACUUUGUAAGAUUCUCUUUUCCAGAUACUUAGGUUAUAACCUCCACUCUUGCACUUGUUUUAUGUUUUUCAAAUUCCUGAUAUCUCUCAACAUUGUUGUCUUCUCUGCCAUUCAUUUUGUCUUCAUGGGUUUAUACUUUCAAAAAAUACCAUUUCUGUUAUUUUUGUGAGGUCUCAGAAGAUUCUUCCAUAUCUAACAGUCUGCCAUAUUUAACAAACAGUUCUCAAUGAACUUUAAAGAUUAUUUAAAUAAAGGCAAAGGGCAUCAAGGUACAUCUUGGUGUUGAAUGAAGUUGUUCCAUAUGGGCUCAUUUCUCAGGAAUCCACAAAGCUCUCUGGAUAAUUUUCCUGGCCUGUCAUGGUGACCAUGCCACUUGUCUUCCAGGU
rnacentral:lncRNA from 1 species